rnacentral:rRNA from 1 species
UACGAAGGGGGCUAGCGUUGUUCGGAAUUACUGGGCGUAAAGCGCGUGUAGGCGGGUUUUUAAGUCAGGGGUGAAAUGCCAAGGCUCAACCUUGGAACUGCCUUUGAUACUGGAGACCUUGAGUCCGGGAGAGGUGAGUGGAAUUGCGAGUGUAGAGGUGAAAUUCGUAGAUAUUCGCAAGAACACCGGUGGCGAAGGCGGCCUUCUGGACAGUGACUGACGCUGAGACGCGAAAGCGUGGGGAGCAAACAGG